UUAUUUUCUUAUUAAUUUAUGUUGCGAUGCAAUAAUACCCAGAUUGCAAGUCGUAGUCCUUAGAUUAAAAAAAGUGGAGCUUUGUCAGAUUUUAAACUGGUUCGGCGAUAGCAGCUAUUCGUUAUUCAGGAGAAUCUGAUAUGCUGUAGGUUCAUACUGAGUUAGAACUGGGUAAUAAGUUUUGUGUGCUUGGAUGAAUUUAAAUUAUUGUAGUAUGUCAAAAGAUUCAUGAACUUAAAACAACUUAAGUUAUUUUUACCUGUUAACUGCAAGGGGAAUUGGGUUCGGCAUGUCGGCCAUGCUUCUGCUGUAAUUAAGGUGACACUUGUCACCUUCUCAUGUUUCCUCUUGGUUGCGCAAGACCGAAAUUGUGUCCAUUGAAGUGCAAAUUUAUAUGGGCAAGAAUGUAAUGGGUCUAGUAUUUGGCUCUGUUAUUAGUUACCUGGAAAUGUUGUCUAAAA